GAUGAACGCUGGCGGCGUGCCUAAUACAUGCAAGUCGAGCGAACGGGCGAGAAGCUUGCUUCUCUGAUGUUAGCGGCGGACGGGUGAGUAACACGUGGAUAACCUACCUAUAAGACUGGGAUAACUUCGGGAAACCGGAGCUAAUACCGGAUGAUAUUUUGAACCGCAUGGUUCAAAAGUGAAAGACGGUCUUGCUGUCACUUAUAGAUGGAUCCGCGCUGCAUUAGCUAGUUGGUAAGGUAACGGCUUACCAAGGCAACGAUGCAUAGCCGACCUGAGAGGGUGAUCGGCCACACUGGAACUGAGACACGGUCCAGACUCCUACGGGAGGCAGCAGUAGGGAAUCGUCCGCAAUAGGCGAAAGCCUGACGGAGCAACGCCGCGUGAGUGAUGAAGGUCUUCGGAUCGUAAAACUCUGUUAUUAGGGAAGAACAUAUGUGUAAGUAACUGUGCACAUCUUGACGGUACCUAAUCAGAAAGCCACGGCUAACUACGUG
rnacentral:rRNA from 1 species